CCGUAGUUUACAACUCCCAAACCCCUGUGAACAUACCACUUGUUGCCUCGGCGGAUCAGCCCGCUCCCGGUAAAACGGGACGGCCCGCCAGAGGACCCCUAAACUCUGUUUCUAUAUGUAACUUCUGAGUAAAACCAUAAAUAAAUCA
rnacentral:misc_RNA from 1 species